rnacentral:rRNA from 1 species
AUACGGGAGGCAGCAGUGGGGAAUAUUGGGCAAUGGGCGCAAGCCUGACCCAGCCAUGCCGCGUGAGUGAUGAAGGCCUUCGGGUCGUAAAGCUCUGUGGGGAGGGAAGAACCUGCAUCGCGUGAAUAAUGCGGUGCCCUGACGGUACCUCCUUAGCAAGCACCGGCUAACUCCGUGCCAGCAGCCGCGGUAAUACGGAGGGUGCAAACGUUGCUCGGAAUCAUUGGGCGUAAAGCGCACGUAGGCGGUCCUGCAAGUCGGGUGUGAAAGCCCUCGGCUCACCGAGGAAGUGCAUCCGAAACUGCAGAACUUGAGUAGUGAAGAGGGUCUCGGAAUUCCCGGUGUAGAGGUGAAGUUCGUAGAUAUCGGGAGGAACACCAGUGGCGAAGGCGGAGACCUGGGCACAUACUGACGCUGAGGUGCGAAAGCGUGGGGAGCAAACAGGCUUAGAUACCCGUGUAGUCCG